rnacentral:rRNA from 1 species
GACGAACCGUCCUACCGUUGUUCGGAAUCACUGGGCUUAAAGGGCGCGUAGGCGGCUUGCCAAGUCAGGGGUGAAAUCCUGCAGCUUAACUGUAGAAGGGCCUUUGAUACUGGCGAGCUCGAGGGAGGUAGGGGUAUGUGGAACUUCCGGUGGAGCGGUGAAAUGCGUAGAUAUGCGGAGGAACACCGAUGGCGAAGGCAAUCCCCUGGACCUGUACUGACGCUCAUGCACGAAAGCGUGGGGAGCAAACAGG